rnacentral:rRNA from 1 species
GCAGUAGCCGCGGUAAUACAGAGGGUGCGAGCGUUAAUCGGAUUUACUGGGCGUAAAGCGUGCGUAGGCGGCUUCUUAAGUCGGAUGUGAAAUCCCUGAGCUUAACUUAGGAAUUGCAUUCGACACUGGGAAGCUAGAGUAUGGGAGAGGAUGGUAGAAUUCCAGGUGUAGCGGUGAAAUGCGUAGAGAUCUGGAGGAAUACCGAUGGCGAAGGCAGCCAUCUGGCCUAAUACUGACGCUGAGGUACGAAAGCAUGGGGAGCAAACAGGAUUAGAGACCCCCGUAGUCCCUGUCUCUUAUAC